AUUGAACGCUGGCGGCAUGCCUUACACAUGCAAGUCGAACGGUAACAGGGAGCUUGCUCCGCUGACGAGUGGCGAACGGGUGAGUAAUGUAUCGGAACGUACCAUUCAGUGGGGGAUAACGUAGCGAAAGUUACGCUAAUACCGCAUAUUCUGUGAGCAGGAAAGCAGGGGAUCGCAAGACCUUGCGCUGAUUGAGCGGCCGAUAUCAGAUUAGCUAGUUGGUGAGGUAAAGGCUCACCAAGGCGACGAUCUGUAGCGGGUCUGAGAGGAUGAUCCGCCACACUGGAACUGAGACACGGUCCAGACUCCUACGGGAGGCAGCAGUGGGGAAUUUUGGACAAUGGGGGCAACCCUGAUCCAGCCAUGCCGCGUGAGUGAAGAAGGCCUUCGGUUGUAAGACGUCUUUCGGUCCGGGAAAACGUACGACGAUCAGUUAAUAACCUGGUGUGGAGUGAUGGUACCGGAAGUAAGAAGACACCGGCGUAACCUACGUACG
rnacentral:rRNA from 1 species